GAUGAACGCUGGCGGCGUGCCUAAUACAUGCAAGUCGAGCGAACGGACGAGAAGCUUGCCUCUCUGAUGUUAGCGGCGGACGGGUGAGUAACAUGAGCAUAACCCACCUAAAAGACUGGGAAAACCUCGGGAAACCGGAGCUAACACCGGAUAAUAUUUUGCACCGCAUGGUUCAAAAGUGAAAGACGGUCUUGCUGUCACUUAUAGAUGGAUCCGCGCGGCAUUAGCUAGUUGGUAAGGCAACGGCUUACCAAGGCAACGAUGCAUAGCCGACGUGAGAGGGGGGUAGGCCGCACUGGAGCGGGGACGCGGACAAUACGACUGCGGGAGGGAGCAGUAGGGUAUGUGACGCAGUAGGCGGAAGCCUGGCGGAGCGACGCCGCGUGAGUGGUGAAGGUGUUCGGUUCGUAAUACUCUGUUAUUGGGUGAGAACAUAUGUGUAAGGGAAUGUACACAUCUUGACGGUACCUGAUCAGAAAGCCACGGCUAACUACGUG
rnacentral:rRNA from 1 species